GGUUCAUCAAAAACAACAAGUCAACCACCUCGGUAGCUUGCUAGCCAACGUAGCCGAAAGAUUCAAGCUGUUUUUACGCUUUCGGUGUAUAUUAGCUGCUGUGUUUUAGACACACUUCUAUCGUAUAUACUUGUUAGCCUAUUUAAUUUAAUGUUACGUUAUUUUCUAUUAGUCAGAUAUAGUAGCUGGCUGGUUAAAUUAGCAGUAGCUUAGUCGCUAAUGAUAGCUAGCUAGCUAAUAUCCCCGAACAUGGGGUCAGUAAGCUUCUCCCCUCCUUCUAAAGAAGAGGUCUGCUGGACGGAGAAAGAAGCUCUGGGGCUGAACAUUGUAGUGAAAGAGGAGAAGGAAGAGGAGGAUGUCACAGUUAAAAAAUAAAUUGAGGGUGAGGCUGUUACAGUGAAAGAGGAAGACGUUACAGUGAAAGAAGAGGAAGACGCGUUCACAGUGAAAGAGGAGGAUGAGAAAGAGGAUGUCGUCUUUGUCGUGAAGAAGGAAGGGGAGAUUUCUGUCACAUUGAAAGAUGAAGAGGUGGAGAUAGGAGAUCUGAUUUACAUCAGAGAGAGACGUGACUAUCGUGGAUCCUCUGGGGAGCCUCAACAACAUCAUGAUGCUAACGAGGCAGAGAAGAGUCUCUAUAGAUCAUAUCACCUCAAGAAACACCAGAGGAGACCCACAGGGAAGAAAUCUCAUUUCUGCUCUGACUGUGGGAAAGGUUGUAAAUCUUCAUCAGAACUUAAAAUACACCAGCGAGUACACACAGGAGAGAAAUCUCACCACUGUUUUGAUUAUGGGAAGAGUUACUUAAGAUCAGAAUCACUAAAAGUACACAUGAGAAUUCACACUGGAGAGAAACCUUAUAGCUGUGAUCAAUGUGGGAAGAGUUUUACUCACUCAAGCUGCCUGAUAGUACAUCUGAGAGCGCACACCGGAGAGAAACCUUACCACUGCUCUGACUGCGGAAAGAGUUUUGUUAGUUCAACAGAUUUAAAAUCACACCAGAAAAUACACACAGUAGAGAAACCUUUUAACUGUACUCAAUGUGGGAAGAGGUUUAAUCACUCAAGCUGGCUGAUAGUACAUCUGAGAGCACACACAGGAGUGAAACCUUAUAGCUGUGAUCAAUGUGGGAAGAGAUUUGUUACAUCUAGCCAUCUGACUAUACACCAGAGAACACACACAGGAGAGACAUCUCAUAGCUGUGAUCAAUGUCACAAGAGAUACUCUGAUAAAAGAUCUCUGAUCAAACAUCAGAAAAUACAUACAUGAAGUAGUUGUUUCAUGAUAUCAAUGAAAUGUCACAAUGUAGAAUAUUUGAAUGAUGUCACAAUGUAGAAUGUUUUAACAUUGUAGUAGGAAUACAAAGGAUUUGAAUUUGAUAAAAGUCCAUAUUGAUACAGAAACACUAAACCAUGAUUUAGAUGUAUUAAGAACAAGUUGAUUGACAAAGUCAUGAAAAAUGGAAUAAACCACAUUUUGGCUCUGAUAAAAGAUAUGGCUCUGGGGUCAAAAUGAUCCAUGUCAGAACUAUGGUUCAAUGUAAAUAUGUAGUGGGUCUAAAGUUUGUUUUAAAUUAUCACUCAUUAAAAACGAAUCAAUCAACACAUGCUUCUCUUUGAACGACUUAAUAUAAUAUUACACUUUUCUGAAAUAAAUGAAAAUAAACUUUUGGUUCCUCAACUGCGUUGCUCACUCCAGUCAGCAGAAAGAGACGCAGCAGAAGUGCCUCUUUUUAUAUUUGAUUUGAUUUAUAUAUUUUUUUAUUCAAAAUGCAGAUCUACAAUUUACAUUGUUACAUCAUACAGAACAGAACACAGGUAUUAACAAGAAAAUACUAAAACAGACAAAACAUAUAAAUAAUUAACUAUUCUAGUGUAGUUGUAAUCACUCUGAAAAAAUCUAUAAUGAUUCAGGAGGAUGUUAUUGUUGUUGUUAUUCACUAGGAUUAAUGUUUUAAUAAAAUAGUUACAUUCAAUCAGAAAAAUUUGUAAUUUUGGUAUAGAAUUUGGGAAUUUUUGUUUGUGUAGAAAGUAUUUGGCAACAAGAAUUAAAAAAAAAUGAACAAUCAUUUGAAUGGUCUUGUUAUCAUUGCAAUAGUAACAUAUUAUAUCUUUCAUGUCAAAAACAUGGGUCGUGUUCAUAAUGGUAAAUAAGUAUUUUUCAAGGUUUUCCCAAAAUUCUGACACAAAUUUACAUUAAAGAACAUUUACAUUAAA